rnacentral:rRNA from 1 species
UGCUAAUCUGCGAUAAGCGCCGGUAAGGUGAUAUGAACCGUUAUAACCGGCGAUACCCGAAUGGGGAAACCCAGUGUGAUUCGUCACACUAUCAUUAACUGAAUCCAUAGGUUAAUGAGGCGAACCGGGGGAACUGAAACAUCUAAGUACCCCGAGGAAAAGAAAUCAACCGAGAUUCCCCCAGUAGCGGCGAGCGAACGGGGAGGAGCCCAGAGCCUGAAUCAGCAUGUGUGUUAGUGGAAGCGUCUGGAAAGGCGCGCGAUACAGGGUGACAGCCCCGUACACAAAAGCGCAUGUGCUGUGAGCUCGAUGAGUAGGGCGGGACACGUGGUAUCCUGUCUGAAUAUGGGGGGACCAUCCUCCAAGGCUAAAUACUCCUGACUGACCGAUAGUGAACCAGUACCGUGAGGGAAAGGCGAAAAGAACCCCGGCGAGGGGAGUGAAAAAGAACCUGAAACCGU